rnacentral:rRNA from 1 species
AAUGUACGCUGGCGGCACGCCUAACACAUGCAAGUCGAACGAGGUAGCAAUACCUAGUGGCAGACGGGUGCGUAACAUGUGGGAAUCUGCCUUUUGGUUCGGAACAACACGGGGAAACCUGUGCUAAUACCGGAUAAGUCCUCACGGAGAAAGAUUUAUCGCCGAAAGAUGAGCCCGCACUUGAUUAGCUUGUUGGUAAGGUAAAAGCUUACCAAGGCUACGAUCAAUAGCUGAUUUGAGAGGAUGAUCAGCCACACUGGGACUGAGACACGGCCCAGACUCCUACGGGAGGCAGCAGUGGGGAAUCUUGCACAAUGGAGGAAACUCUGAUGCAGCGAUGCCGCGUGAGUGAAGAAGGCCCUUGGGUUGUAAAGCUCUUUUGUCGGGAAAGAUAAUGACAGUAGCAGGUAAAGAAACCCCGGCUAACUCCG